rnacentral:rRNA from 1 species
AGGAAAAGAAACCAACAGGGAUUGCCCCAGUAACGGCGAGUGAAGCGCAACAGCUCAAAUUUGAAAUCUGGAAAAAGGGUCCGAGUUGUAAUUUGCAGAGGAUGCUUCGGGCGAGGUGCCUUCCGAGUUCCCUGGAACGGGACGCCAUAGAGGGUGAGAGCCCCGUCUGGUCGGACACCGAGCCCGUGUGAAGCUCCUUCGAAGAGUCGAGUAGUUUGGGAAUGCUGCUCAAAAUGGGAGGUAUAUGUCUUCUAAAGCUAAAUAUUGGCCAGAGACCGAUAGCGCACAAGUAGAGUGAUCGAAAGAUGAAAAGCACUUUGAAAAGAGGGUUAAAAAGUACGUGAAAUUGUUGAAAGGGAAGCG